rnacentral:rRNA from 1 species
UCGCACCUACGGGGGGCAGCAGUAGGGAAUCUUCCACAAUGGACGAAAGUCUGAUGGAGCAACGCCGCGUGAGUGAAGAAGGGUUUCGGCUCGUAAAGCUCUGUUGGUAGUGAAGAAAGAUAGAGGUAGUAACUGGCCUUUAUUUGACGGUAAUUACUUAGAAAGUCACGGCUAACUACGUGCCCGCAGCCGCGGUAAUACGUAGGUGGCAAGCGUUUUCCGGAUUUAUUGGG